CGCGUAGGCGGGCGCGUACGGCGGUGGUGAAAGCUCCUGGCUCAACUAGGAGAGGCCCAUCGCAACGGCGUGUCUCGAGGGUGGUAGAGGCGGAUGGAAUUCCAGGUGUAGCGGUGAAAUGCGUAGAGAUCUGGAGGAACACCCGUGGCGAAGGCGGUCCGCUGGGCCAUGCCUGACGCUGAAGCGCGAAGGCCAGGGGAGUGAACGGGAUUAGAUACCCCGGUAAUCCUGGCGGUAAACGAUGGAUACUAGGUGUCAGUGGUAUCGACCCUACUGGUGCCGUAGCUAACGCGAUAAGUAUCCCGCCUGGGGAGUACGGCCGCAAGGUUGAA
rnacentral:rRNA from 1 species